UCAACAUUGUUUUUGUAGAUUACAAGAUAGUUGAAAUCACGAAAGUUGGUACACCGAUUGACAAAAAUGAAGUUAGAGAUUCUUACCUUGGGGGGCUUGAAAGGAAUGAAAAAUUUUCAUUCUGCUCCAUUAAUUCAAAACUUGUAAACUUUGAUAAGGAGCAUAUAAAAAUAGCAUGCUACAUUUGGACAGGGUUUAGAGUUUUUUAUAUGUC
rnacentral:lncRNA from 1 species